rnacentral:lncRNA from 1 species
CUCUUCCUGCAUUAGUGGAAUCUUCUCUCCUGCUGCAACCCUAAGCUGCCAUUCCACCAAGUCUGUCCCAGUGAUCAUCUCUGUAACAGGGUGCUCCACCUGCAGCCUGGUAUUCAUCUCCAUGAAGUAAAAAUUAUGCUGGGAAUCCAUAAUAAACUCCACUGUUCCUGCUCCCACAUAAUUCACUGCCUUGGCUGCUUUCACAGCAGCUUCUCCAAGUCUCUUUCGAACUUCAGGAUUAAUUCCUGGCCCUGGUGCUUCUUCAAUGAUCUUCUGAUGUCUUCUUUGCACACUGCAGUCUCUUUCAAACAAAUACACCGCAUUGCCAUGCUGGUCACCAAACACUUGGACUUCAACAUGCCUUGGAUUAUCUACAAAUUUUUCAAUCAGCAUUGCAUCGUCAUUGAAAGACUUCUUUGCUUCUCUCCGUGCUGAUUCGAGUUGGUCCAGAAACUCCUUUUCUGAAUGAGCGAUUCUCAUGCCCUUUCCUCCACCGCCGCGAACAGCUUUAAUCAUUAC